UACGAAGGGGGCUAGCGUUGUUCGGAAUCACUGGGCGUAAAGCGCACGUAGGCGGAUCUUUAAGUCAGGGGUGAAAUCCCGGAGCUCAACUUCGGAACUGCCUUUGAUACAGCACGUCUUGAGUCCGAUAGAGGUGGGUGGAAUUCCUAGUGUAGAGGUGAAAUUCGUAGAUAUUAGGAAGAACACCGGUGGCGAAGGCGGCCCACUGGAUCGGUACUGACGCUGAGGUGCGAAAGCGUGGGGAGCAAACAGG
rnacentral:rRNA from 1 species